rnacentral:rRNA from 1 species
CCUACGGGAGGCAGCAGUGGGGGAUAUUGCACAAUGGGGGGAACCCUGAUGCAGCGACGCCGCGUGAGCGAAGAAGUACCUCGGUAUGUAAAGCUCUAUCAGCAGGGAAGAAAAUGACGGUACCUGACUAAGAAGCCCCGGCUAAAUACGUGCCAGCAGCCGCGGUAAAACGUAGGAGGCAAGCGUUAUCCGGAUUUACUGGGUGUAAAGGGAGCGCAGGCGGGCUGCCAAGUCCGGUGUGAAAACCCGGGGCCCAACCGCGAGCCUGCAUUGGAAACUGGCGGGCUGGAGGGUCGGAGGGGCAGGCGGAAUUGGUAGUGUAGCGGUGAAAUGCGUAGAUAUUAGGAAGAACACCGGUGGCGAAGGCAGCCUACUAGACGAUGACUGACGCUGAGGCUCGAAAGCGUGGGGAGCAAACAGGAUUAGAUACCCGGGUAGUC